GCCAGGUGCUCAAUUUCUCACUUCUGAUUACGAAAUGUCUUCAAAGUCUUCUAUUUGGUAUACAUUCACAGGAACAGGUUCCAAUCUGGAUCGGUUUCAUGAUCACAAACUUUUGUAUCCUUGGUUAUGGUCCUUUAUUCAAUUUUUUAAAAUUGAAUUUUCAAGUGACUUCAUGUCUAAUCAAGAUCCUCUUAUUUAUCUAACCCAAAUAAAAUUGUAAAUGACCAGUCUUUCCACUUGCUUCUGAAGCUAUUGCUGGUGAACAAUCAUCUGAAAACAACAGGAGAAUUUGACAGGACUUUGAAUUCCGGUGAACAGCUUGAGGGGCUUGUAACACAUGUAUAUACGUAAAAAAAAAAUUUUAAUUUCAAAAACAAACUGCUUUCAACAUGUGUAACCCAUGAAAGACACGUUCAACUAUUUUUAUGCCAGUAAAAUAAAUUAGAGAUAAAUUCCAUUUAAUGCAUUAAAAAAACUGUUCCAUA